GGUGGCGGCGGCGGCGGCGGCGGCCCACCACUAGGCUGGUUCGAUUCCUACAAGCCCC
rnacentral:tRNA from 1 species